UAGUUGUGUAGGCUGGUUCUAUGUCAACU
rnacentral:piRNA from 1 species